rnacentral:miRNA from 1 species
UUUUGAGCUUGGCGUAGAUAGAG